CAGCGAUCAUUAUGCUUCAGGAAGCCAGAAAAGAAAGAAGAGAAUUUAAGAGGAGGACAAGAAAGAACAAGAGAGUGGUGCUUUGCUUAAAUUUCUCAGCCCAUAGGCUCUUCCUAAGGAUACCUCCAUUGAUGAAGCUUCACUAUCAACUUCAUCCUCAACAUCAACAGAUGCAUCACUUUUCAGUGUUGAUGUUUCCACUAUAGCACAAGGUAACAUAAGCUCUAUAA